UGGGAUAGAGGUGCGACUCUUUGAAGGAGGGGAGAAGGGGCAGAUCCCAAAAUACUCAAUCACUGACCUGGACAAAAACUAUUUCAUAUUGAAAAUGCAACUGAUGUGACGCAGUACACAGAGGAAAUCCUCAACUGUGGAUACACAGGCCCCAUCACAUUGGAGCAUCAAGACAGUAUUGUAAGAGCUGUUUUGCUACAUGCCACCACGAAGCGUAUACCAAUGCUUCAACAACUGCGAGAAGGCCUUGAACUCUACCAACUGCUGUCAGUUAUGCAAAAGAAACCCAAGGAAUGUCGUAAUCUUUUGGUGAUUGGGGAUGAUGACAAGGUUGAUUCACAUUACAUCAUCUCCAGCCUGGCUCCAGUGAUGAGUGAUACUGGAUCGCUAAAACACAAGACAGAGGGACAGAUACUGGACUUCUUUCAAGAUUUCCUUCUCGACCUGGAGGAUGGUGAUGCCAGUCAGACUGAGGAAGAAGACAAUGGAUCACCUCUCUCUGUUCCUCGAGUGAUGCAGUGGCUGACGGGGCAGGCUCACCGACACCUCCUGGUUUCAGAAAGGGAGACUUUUAAAAUCAAAGUUCUUUUUGAUCACACUUGUCUUGAACGCAUGCCAAAGCACACAGUGUGCUACCCUGUUGUGAGUGCAUGCAGCACCACAAUAACAUUUCCCACAGUCCAUCUGAAAGACAGCGAAGCGUUUAACUCCAACCUUGAAUUUGCAAUUCGACAUGGUUCCAGGUUUGAUAGGGUUUAACUUUUGUUUUACUAAAGCUGAUGUGUUUAGUCAGUUAAUUUUAGUUCGACCCUGAUCUUCUUAAACUAUUAGUAAUCAACACUUUUGCAAAAUGUGUCAUGUUGUCUGCUGGGUGUUCUGUUAUUUUAUUGCAACCAUGUAUUUUUUUCAUAAUAUUUGCUAACAUGGUCUUGCAUAUAGAAAGGUUCUGAGAUAUACUGUACAAUUAAUGGUAUACCACCAUUGACGACACUCCUUCUCUGUGAAACAAACAGAACAAUUUAACAUGACAUUAUCAUUUCAAUUGGCAACAUGCUCAAAAGCUGUUUUGUCUCAU